UACGGAGGGAGCUAGCGUUGUUCGGAAUUACUGGGCGUAAAGCGCACGUAGGCGGCUAUUCAAGUCAGAGGUGAAAGCCCGGGGCUCAACCCCGGAACUGCCUUUGAAACUACGAAGCUAGAGUGUGUCAGAGGGAGGUAGAAUUCCACGUGUAGCAGUGAAAUGCGUAGAGAUGUGGAGGAACACCAGUGGCGAAGGCGACUAACUGGACAUGUAUUGACGCUGAGGUACGAAAGCGUGGGGAGCAACCAGG
rnacentral:rRNA from 1 species